UGUCCUACGGGAGGCAGCAGUGGGGAAUAUUGGGCAAUGGGCGCAAGCCUGACCCAGCAAUGCCGCGUGAAGGAAGAAGGCUUUCGGGUUGUAAACUUCUUUGACAGGGGAAGAGCAGAAGACGGUACCCUGAAAACAAGCUACGGCUAACUACGUGCCAGCAGCCGCGGUAAUACGUAGGUGGCAAGCGUUGUCCGGAUUUAAUGGGUGUAAAGGGCGUGUAGCCGGGACGGCGAGUCAGAUGUGCAAUCAG
rnacentral:rRNA from 1 species